GUUUGCUUAGCAUAGUGGUAAUUAUGUAGGCUCGUUGAGCCGAUGGCGCGAGUUCGAUUCUCGUAGAGAGAG